CGAACGCUGGCGGCGCGCCUAAUACAUGCAGGUCGAGCGAGAAGACGUAGCAAUACGUUUGUAAAGCGGCGAACGGGUGAGGAAUGCAUGGGUAACCUACCCUCGAGUGGGGAAUAACUAGCCGAAAGGUUAGCUAAUACCGCAUACGAUUCCCGGACUUCGGUUCGGGAGGGAAAGCGAUACCGUGGGUAUCGCGCUCUUGGAUGGGCUCAUGUCCUAUCAGCUUGUUGGUGAGGUAAUGGCUCACCAAGGCUUCGACGGGUAGCUGGUCUGAGAGGACGAUCAGCCACACUGGCACUGCGACACGGGCCAGACUCCUACGGGAGGCAGCAGUAAGGAAUAUUGCGCAAUGGACGAAAGUCUGACGCAGCGACGCCGCGUGGGGGAUGAGGGUCUUCGGAUUGUAAACCUCUUUUAGUAGGGAAGAAGCGAAAGUGACGGUACCUGCAGAAAAACGCACCGGCUAACUACGUGCCAGCAG
rnacentral:rRNA from 1 species